UUCAAUUUGUUUUUUAUUCACUCCAACGAAUACAAAAUUUUCACGAACUGGGGGAAGUUGUAAUAAAUCACCAAAUACAAGGACGUUGAUUUUUCCAAACCAUCCGUUUUCAUCAUCAGAAGUAUUGAAUAUUUCAGUUAAACGCAAAUGAAUAUACAUGAAACUGCUCCAGAUAAUUCUUUGUACUCAGCUGUACCACCGUGUUCUACUGGAAGUUGUAAUAAUCUGUGAAUUGUAAGUCCUUGUAUGUUAUAUGCAGCAAUCCCAGUAGGAGCUGUAACAGCUGUAUCUUUACUACGAUAUAUUUUAUUCCACGAAACUAAAUUUUCGAUGACAAAACUUUUACCUGUUCCUCCAGGACCAUACUUACAAACAUUCUUAAUAUUUUGUCAUUUGAUUGUAAAAUUGAAGUGAUUUUGUUAAAAACUCUAAGUUGAUCAGUAUUAAAUUUUGCAAUAGAGUUUUGUAGAUCUUGCUGACUCACAAUAGCUUUUUCUACUACAGCUUGAAAAUCGUUCAUAGCAUUUUCUACUUCAAUAGGUACGCAGCCAUCAGGUAUAUGAGCUGAAUUUUGAGGUAUAGGUGUGUCAUUUUGCUCCAAUUGAUUUUGAACUAAUUUCUGCAUAUUAUCCAUUGCUUCUUUAAUAACUGCACAUUUAUCGUGGUAUUUCAUUGCUUCUGCUAACUGAUGCUGUUGUUUUCUAAAAGAUUCACAAUAUGUUUCAUCGGAGUGUUUUAAUUCAUCUAAAUCUCUCCAAGGUGUGAAUAAUAAUAACAAAGCGUGGUAGAGUAAGCGUCUGGCUGAUUAUCUGGAUUAAAGUUAUAGUGAUUUAUUAAAUAAGGUUUCUUUCAUUUUUUACAAUAUAAACCAUUUGACAUUUCAUAAAAUUCCGCUUUAUAAACUGGUUUUUUUUCGAAAUCUCGAACCACUUAGCAAAAUCAUACAAGCAUAAUGAAUCUAAUUCCUUUGGUCUGUUGGGAUAAUGAUUAUCUAUGAAAGAAUCAUAAAAUAUAUCUGUAGAAUCUUCUGGAAGAUCUUUUAUUUCUUUAAAUGGUUUUAAUUUUCUACCCCUUAUAAUAUUAACAUUUAACCAUUUAAUAAUUGUGUCAGGGUCAGUACUAUGCAAAGGAUGUCCUAACAAAACAUCAGCAGCUUCAAUAUAGCUCCACAUUCUCUAUUUUGUAAAGCACGUACAGCAAAGGCCCAGAGACGGUUAAACAAAGAUGAUUCUCCAAUAUAUUGAGCAUCAUUAUUUCCUUCCCAAAUAAGUAAAAGAGAAGGCAUAUAGUCAUUGAUGUUUUGUUCAUCUGUUGUUCGAGUUACAGGACGAGGAAAUCCGAAACGACAAGCACUUGAAAAACCAGUAUUUCCGAUAUGUACAAAUAAAAUGGCCUACUGUAGAACCACGUUGAAAUAAAAUUUGUAUGUGUUUAUUAUGUUCAUGUAUUUGUGAAAUUUUAGAAACAUUUUGUAAAUAUAACGUAGAGCAUGGUUUAUACAUAGAAGUUUGUUGUAACAUUUUAUGAAAAUAAUCUACAUGUUCAUCGUUUAGACAAUUAUUAUUUAUAAUAAUACUUGUAUUAUACAAUUUUCUUGGCUGCAAAUGCAUAGGAAUAGGUAUAGUAUUACAAGGGAAAUGGGCAAUGCACUUAUUAACAAGUAAUUCCAAUAAAUGUUUACGCAUCAUAUGUUUGUUGUAGGUAAUAAAAUCUGGUUUUAUUUCGCAUAAUAAGGUUAUUACAAAAGCUAUGGCAAAAACCUCACAAUCUUUGGAAUUGUUUUGUUGUUGAACAUUUGGUAGAAUAAUGUCUUUGCCUUCUUGGAAAUAAUAAGGAUGUAGAAUUGUUAAGGCCUUUUCUAAAUCUUUGUGCAUGAUUUUAUUAUUUAUCGAAUCAAAAACAUAAAUAUGAUCAGUGUCAUAGUAAGAAGUUACCCAAUGCCCAGCAUUGUCUGGAUCGUUACUUGAUAAAUAUAUUAUUUGCACAUGCUUAAGAUUUUUUGGAAUUGCAGAAACAAACCCGUGGUGUAACAACAAAGAUGAAAACGGUUUAUAUUUUGAAAAUGCUGUUACUAAAGACAGAAAAAAAUCGAUGUCUGAAUCUAUCAAUAAAUCACCUGUAGUAAUACGGGUUUGUCCCAAUUCAGUAAAAUUUUGAAGAACUUUAUCCAUUUUAUAAUUUUUAUAAUUACAACAAAGUAUACAAAUAUCUUAGUAUAAAUUUUUCGUAGCAUAAAACAGACUAAUAUAAACUAAAUGUGAAAAUAUUAAAUCGGCAAUAACAAUAAACAUAACAAUAGAAAAAAGAUAGUAAUUAAAAGCUGUGCUUAUUGCUGAGUAUGGCAGUAGUUAUUGGCUGUGGCUUUAACUGUUAAAGGCAUGUAAAAAGACAAUCGAUAAGACUAUUCAUGGCUAUGAAUUUAAAUGGCUGUGUCUAUUACACAUAAAAAAAUUAUUUGGGUCAAGUACGAACAAUUUUGGUCUGUUACAAAUAAUUUGCUGUAGUUCCAAAAAAUAAUAUUUAUGGAUAUAUCCCAAAGAAUAAUGAAUGCCCUAAAUAUUUAAUUGUAGCUAAACCCAAAUGAUUUUUUUCUGUGUAAUUAAUGGCUGUGGUUGUUUAUGGCUGAAACUGUUAUUGGCUGUGAAUGAUAAUGGCUAUAGCUAUUAAUGGCUGUGGCUGUUGGUAGGCUAGUUUUGGAUAUGUGGAAAUGGAUGUAAUUGUUGAAGGUAUUUUAUAAAUGAAAAUACAACCGUUAGUACAGUAUUAUAACGUAGUAUAUUUAUGUGAAUACAUUUUUAUUCCAAUCAUGACACUUGGUUAUACAGUAUUAUGAAGUAGCAUAUUAAACUUUGUAUAUACAGUAG
rnacentral:lncRNA from 1 species